rnacentral:rRNA from 1 species
UACGGGGGGGGGCAAGCGUUGUUCGGAAUUACUGGGCGUAAAGGGCUCGUAGGCGGCCAACUAAGUCAGACGUGAAAUCCCUCGGCUUAACCGGGGAACUGCAUCUGAUACUGGAUGGCUUGAGUUCGGGAGAGGGAUGCGGAAUUCCAGGUGUAGCGGUGAAAUGCGUAGAUAUCUGGAGGAGCACCGGUGGCGAAGGCGGCAUCCUGGACCGACACUGACGCUGAGGAGCGAAAGCCAGGGGAGCAAACGGG